rnacentral:rRNA from 1 species
UUGGUGAGGUAGUGGCCCACCAAGGCAACGACGGGUAGCCGGCCUGAGAGGGCGACCGGCCACACUGGGACUGAGACACGGCCCAGACUCCUACGGGAGGCAGCAGUGGGGAAUAUUGCACAAUGGGCGCAAGCCUGAUGCAGCGACGCCGCGUGGGGGAUGACGGCCUUCGGGUUGUAAACCUCUUUCACCAUCGGCGAAGCCGGUAGCUUUUGUUGUCGGUGACGGUAGGUGGAGAAGAAGCACCGGCCAACUACGUGCCAGCAGCCGCGGUAAUACGUAGGGUGCGAGCGUUGUCCGGAAUUACUGGGCGUAAAGAGCUCGUAGGUGGUUUGUCGCGUUGUUCGUGAAAUUCCCUGGCUUAACUGGGGGCGUGCGGGCGAUACGGGCAGACUGGAGUACUGCAGGGGAGACUGGAAUUCCUGGUGUAGCGGUGGAAUGCGCAGAUAUCAGGAGGAACACCGGUGGCGAAGGCGGGUCUCUGGGCAGUAACUGACGCUGAGGAGCGAAAGCGUGGGGAGCGAACAGGAUUAGAUACCCUGGUAGUCCACGCCGUAAACGGUGGGUACUAGGUGUGGGUUUCCUUCCUUGGGAUCCGUGCCGUAGCUAACGCAUUAAGUACCCCGCCUGGGGAGUACGG